rnacentral:rRNA from 1 species
AUUGAACGCUGGCGGAAUGCUCUACACAUGCAAGUCGAACGGCAGCAUAGGUGCUUGCACCUGAUGGCGAGUGGCGAACGGGUGAGUAAUACAUCGGAACGUGCCCAGUCGUGGGGGAUAACGUAGCGAAAGUUACGCUAAUACCGCAUACGAUCUAAGGAUGAAAGCGGGGGACCGUAAGGCCUCGCGCGAUUGGAGCGGCCGAUGUCAGAUUAGGUAGUUGGUGAGGUAAAGGCUCACCAAGCCGACGAUCUGUAGCUGGUCUGAGAGGACGACCAGCCACACUGGGACUGAGACACGGCCCAGACUCCUACGGGAGGCAGCAGUGGGGAAUUUUGGACAAUGGACGCAAGUCUGAUCCAGCCAUUCCGCGUGCAGGACGAAGGCCUUCGGGUUGUAAACUGCUUUUGUACGGAACGAAAAAGCUCUUACUAUUACUAGGAGUCCAUGACGGUACCGUAAGAAUAAGCACCGGCUAACUACGUGCCAGCAGCCGCCGUAA